UAAUUUACUUCCCUUUGUGUCAAGUAGAACUGGUUCACGACAAAGAAGAGCAAUGGUAAACAGGAGGUAUUACAUUAAAAUUGAUUAUUUCACUAUAAAUUCAUAAGCUGACAUAAGUUACUUCCCUUUGUGUCAAGUAGAACUGGUUCACGACAAAGAAGAGCAAUGGUAAACAGGAGGUAUUACAUUCAAAUUGAUUAUUUCACUAUAAAUUCAUAAGCUGACAUAAGUUACUUCCCUUUGUGUCAAGUAGAACUGGUUCACGACAAAGAAGAGCAAUGGUAAACAGGAGGUAUUACAUUCAAAUUGAUUAUUUUACUAUAAAUUUAUAACCUGACAUAAGUUACUUCCCUUUGUGUCAAGUACAACUGGUUCACGACAAAGAAGAGCAAUGGUAAACAGGAGGUAUUACAUUAACAUUGAUUAUUUCAAUAUAAAUUGAUAAGCUGACAUAAGUUACUUCCCUUUGUGUCAAGUAGAACUGGUUCACGACAAAGAAGAGCAAUGGUAAACAGGAGGUAUUACAUUAAAAUUGAUUAUUUCAAUAUAAAUUGAUAAGCUGACAUAAGUUACUUCCCUUUGUGUCAAGUAGAACUGGUUCACGACAAAGAAGAGCAAUGGUAAACAGGAGGUAUUACAUUAAAAUUGAUUAUUUUACUAUAAAUUUAUAACCUGACAUAAGUUACUUCCCUUUGUGUCAAGUACAACUGGUUCACGACAAAGAAGAGCAAUGGUAAACAGGAGGUAUUAC